rnacentral:rRNA from 1 species
UACGAAGGGGGCUAGCGUUGCUCGGAAUGACUGGGCGUAAAGGGCGCGUAGGCGGCGAUCAAGGUCAGAUGUGAAAUCUCCGAGCUUAACUCGGAACGGUCAGCUGAUACUGAUGUGCUAGAGUGCAGAAGGGGCAAUCGGAAUUCUUGGUGUAGCGGUGAAAUGCGUAGAUAUCAAGAGGAACACCUGAGGUGAAGACGGGUUGCUGGGCUGACACUGACGCUGAGGCGCGAAAGCCAGGGGAGCAAACGGG